UACGUAGGGUGCGAGCGUUGUCCGGAAUUACUGGGCGUAAAGGGAGCGUAGGCGGACAGUUUAGUCAGAGGUGAAAGCCCAGGGCUCAACCUUGGAAUUGCCUUUGAUACUGACUGUCUUGAGUACGGGAGAGGUGUGUGGAACUCCGAGUGUAGAGGUGAAAUUCGUAGAUAUUCGCAAGAACACCAGUGGCGAAGGCGGCUCACUGGCCCGAUACUGACGCUGAGGCACGAAAGCGUGGGGAGCAAACAGG
rnacentral:rRNA from 1 species